CGUAGGUGGCAAGCGUUGUCCGGAUUUAUUGGGUUUAAAGGGUGCGUAGGCGGUCUAUUAAAGUCAGUGGUGAAAUACUCUAGCUCAACUAGAGGGGUGCCAUUGAUACUGAUGGACUUGAGUACAGAUGAGGUAGGCGGAAUUGACGGUGUAGCGGUGAAAUGCUUAGAUAUCGUCAAGAGCACCUAUAGCGAAGGCAGCUUACUAGGCUGUAACUGACGCUGAGGCACGAAAGUGUGGGGAUCAAACAGGAUUAGAUACCCUGGUAGUCCACACUGUAAACGUUGAUUACUCGCUGUGUGCGAUAUACAGUACGCGGCCAAGCGAAAGCGAUAAGUAAUCCACCUGGGGAGUACGCCGGCAACGGUG
rnacentral:rRNA from 1 species